CGCGCAGAGCCGUAAAAGCCUCGGGACGGAGGAGGGAGGCUCUCGGCUGGUGCGGCAGGGACUCCUGGGAGAUGUCGCGCAGAGCCGUAAAAGCCUCGGGACGGACGCGAGAGACUCUCGGCCCCGGAGCAGAGGCACCUGGCAACGUCACGCAGAGCCCCAAAAGUGGCGGGACAGACGAGGGAAGCGCUCAGCUCGGGCGCCUGGGACUUGGGAAAUGUCGCGCAAAAGAGCUGCGGGACCCACAAGCUUCAUUCUGGUGACGCUUCUUCAUGCUGGCAGUGGCGGUUCUUCCCGAGAGUAGCAGCCAAACCCAGUUUGCAGUUUUUCCAGCACAGGCAGAACCAGGUUAUCACUGAUCAUUAUUAAUGUCCAGAGGUGUAUGUGCUGAACUUCAUUCUAGCCAAGGACAGGAAGUAGAGACAAGGAAAGGAGAGUAAGAUUUGGGUUUCUGUUGACCUUUGAACAAAGGCAAUAGAUCCCUGAUACUGAGUGACUCUUGGAGCGGCCGCUCAUGAACACCCGUGGGCUAAGCGGGCACAGAUCAGAGAAACAGGAAGGAAGAAAAUAAGCAGGGACUUUUUACCUCGGAUCUUGCCAGAGAUGGCAGUCCACUCCCACCCUGCACCUUCCACUGAAAAGGAGAUGGAAAAACUGCUAUCACUCUUCCUCCAGAGUUAUUCAAGGAAAGCCAUCCUACCAGAGAAGCAGGAGGGAAAAGAGAAAGCUGUAAUUGCUGAGAAGGGACCACAUGGCUAUCACCUGCUCCGUGACCUGGAGUGUAUCUUAGCUAAAGGAGGAAAACGGGAAGGGGACAGCGACCUCACCUUGCUGAUCUGACUCUGCGUUCCGAGAGACGAGGGCGCUGACUGCUGGAAAUGUGAUGCUGGACAUGGCGGCCACCGUCCCUGCUGCCCACAUCAUCCUGCAAUGACAAGAGCGACUGCAGUCAGGUGGCAGGCCAGCCCUAAGGAGCUUACCAUUCAGAGUACAAUCUGGCAGAACCACAAAAAGCUUUCUGUUUUCUCCUGUUAGGCUGUAUUUAUUUUUCCCUCUUUAAAAAAUGGAUUUUUUUUUUUUUUUUUUUUUUUUUAAACCUGGAAGGUCCUACAUCAUACUGUUAAUGAUUACUUCACAGCUGGGAAGAUUUCAUUAUUUUAUGUUACCUCCUUCGAAAUCCGUUCUUCCUCCUUGUUUGCCCAUUACCAUCUUUAAGAUGUAUAAGCUCAAUGAAGUUCAAAAGGAUUUGUUUCUAUAAACACCACAUCUUCCUCACUGAUUUUCCGCUUUUCUAUCUGUGCUUCUCACCUUCGCACUGCCCUCGGGCUGCUCAGUUUGCCACCCCUCAAGCAAGUGUCAUGUGCCACCAACAGAAACAGAGACCUGAAGUUCAGGGUCACUAUGAAAGGAACUAAAGUAUGAAGCAUGAGUGUGAGCAAAGUGAGGCCCUCAUCAGGCUGAAAACCUGUUUGGCCAGACUUUCCUUGGGGAGGCUAAUGUGCACGUCCUUAACUGAAAAGAAAAACCCUUGCAGGUCAGCAAAAUCUUUGAAACGUAGCACAAGUCUGACCGAAUCAGCUACUGAACCAAAGUUCACAGGACUGGAAUCUUCAAGAACAAGAAGAAUCAACCAUUGAACCACUGACCACAUUUCUAGCUCCUCUAAGCAUGUGUAAAGUGAGGAUCAAUUCUCGUAUGUAAAAUGGAGAUAGAAAAUCUGGUAUUUGGUAAGCAGGCACAUACAUUUCCUCUUACUCCUCAGGGCUUAUUUUGAAUUUCCUUCCUGUUUAUGGGCAUCUAAUGUGCUAGCAGUAAUAACUGCCUUAGGGCACACAUGGUUUUGGAGAUAUUUGUGUUCGUCUAACUCGGAUGCUUAAUGUUACAAAGGUUAUGUCACUACCCAAAGUCACUCAGCUAAUUAUGGCAGUGAACCCCAUCAUACCCAUUUUUUUCUUGUCUUCUUGUGGACUAUGUGAGGUCACUAAAAAUUGACAAAUAUGUUUAAAAAGCAGACGUAAAACUUUUUUGAGGCGUUGGAGGAGGCACACACAUCCAGUUAAAUAAGAACUUCACCGCUGAGGCAAAGGCAAUUUAACAAAAAUCUGAGAGUACUUACCCUCCGUCCUUCCCCACAUUAAGUCUAAACAUCCUUUCUGAAAUACUGAGGACACCAAACCAGCAAAGUAACCCUUGCUUCCUUCACAUCACAUCCAGCCAACUCAAGUCCUAGAAGAUGCUUCCGUCUGUUAGUUCAUGAGGAUGCAAAGGAGAGGCUUACCAGGCCUGAGAUCCGAAACCAUACCAGGCUAACUGGAACAUCUGGAAGCCCAACCCUAGGAGGACAGUAUUCUUAUUCCCUAAUGAUCUCAUCAGGAUGGUAAGAAAGACUGUCUGUAAAACAAAGGAGAUAGUCUUGAGAAACCAUGUGAGUGCACAGAUUUGAUGCCAGCUUAAUGAGGGGAGCCCAUUUACAAUGACCAAGGGCCUCUACAGGUACACAGUCUGGCCUGAGAGCGGGGAAGCCACGCAGUACUGACGGAGCUUUCGAGUCGAGCUGUGGAGGUUCCGAGGCUAACCUGGGGCUCAGAGCCUUCAGAGCCCUCCCCAAAGCCUGUUUAUCUAAUGCUUUGCUAGCACUUGCCAAAGGUCAUCAUAGCUGUUCACCAAUUAAUCGUGAUUGAGAAGCACACGACUCAGACGCUUUGGAGAAAUGCCAAUCACUUCACCACCAGGGAAGAGCAAACCCCUGCUGAACGUUUACAGACUAUGUGGGAUUCUGCUGGAAGUUCAUGGUGUCAGAAAGUUGGACUAAUAUAAAUUUGACUUUUAACAGAUAUAUAGUCUGCUAAACGACUAGCUCAGAUAGUCUAUAAAGGCAGAGGAUAAAAGAGUUUUGGCUAACGGACUCACCAGAGUUGCUAUAAAUGCAAACCAAAAUCAUGAGCAACUUGAAAGUUCAACAUAAUUGACAUUCACUAAAAAGUUUGGUAAGAAAAAAUAAAAGGUUUUUUUGCCUUGAUGCAGUCCUUUGAGCCUUGUCAGUUCUAACGUUUGGGCAAAACAGUCUCAUAGCCGCCUUGUUUCUCCUUGAAGAGCACUCUGCUGGGCCCCAUGCUAUAAAGCAGCAUGAAGCCGUUUCAGGGAGUGGCCUCUAGGCAGUUCCAUGUGAUACCGUGAAUACACCCAGGCAUGUCAGUGAGUUCGUUUAAAGGUCAUAUACCCUGCCUUUUGUGGUCCUAUAUUUAUAAUGGGUGGGGAAAUGCUUACUCAUUUCAUAUGUUCUAAUGCACUCAUUACCACACCUCUUCAGUCCUGGGGAUAGCAGGGUUUGGAACAGUUACUGAUUUCAUUUCUGUUUUCCACUGCUACUAAACUUUCCUCAUUAACCAGGAGAGUGCUUCUUUAUUUUAAGCUUAUUUUGCAGUAUAUGGAGUUAGACUAUUGGUGGUUGUAAAAGCAAAUUGUUAUUUGCUGAACUGACCAGUAGAGGUAACAGGUAUCCUAAAAAGUACUGAAAAGCUGUAUUAAAUUCCUCCUAAAUUACAAUCUCAACAUUCUAUUAAAAAUGAUGGUUCUGGGGUGCCUGGGUGGCUCAGUCGGUUGAGCAUCCAACUCUUGAUUUUGGCUCAAGUCAUUUUUGGUGUCAUGAGAUCGAGCCCUGUGUUGGGCUCCGAGCUCAUUGUGGAGUCUGUCAGAGAUUCUCUCUGCCUCUGCCCACCCCUCACCCCCACCCCCUGGCUGCCUCUCUCUCUCAAAAAAAAAAAAAAAAAAGAUGGUUCUGUAGACUGUAUCCAUGCCUGUUUACUGGGUCUGAUAUUGUACACCACAGAUAUAAGAGAUGUUACCGUGGCAGGGGAGGAGAGGGGUACUGACAGAGGGGUGCAGGGGUUCCCCAUGAACAUUUAUUUCUUUGCAGUUUCCUGUAAAUCUAGUUCUCUCCAAAUAAAAAUGAUAAAGAAAAAAUGGAUGAAAUGA